rnacentral:rRNA from 1 species
UCUGGUUGAUCCUGCCAGUAGUCAUAUGCUUGUCUCAAAGAUUAAGCCAUGCAUGUCUAAGUAUAAAUAGUAUACAGUGAAACUGCGAAUGGCUCAUUAAAACAGUUAUAGUUUAUUUGAUAAUUGACAAUUACAUGGAUAACCGUGGUAAUUCUAGAGCUAAUACAUGCUUAAACGCCCGACUUUAUGGAAGGGUGGUAUUUAUUAGACUGAAGCCAAUAUUCCUUGUGUCUAUUGCGGUGAUUCAUAAUAACUGAUCGAAUCUCUUUUUGAGAUAAAUCAUUCAAGUUUCUGCCCUAUCAGCUUUCGAUGGUAGUGUAUUGGACUACCAUGGCAGUAACGGGUAACGAAGAAUUAGGGUUCGAUUUCGGAGAGGGAGCAUGAGAAACGGCUACCACAUCUAAGGAAGGCAGCAGGCGCGUAAUUACCCAAUCCUGACUCAGGGAGGUAGUGACAAGAAAUAGCAAACCGGGAACCUCAUGGUUUCACGGUAUUGCAAUGAGAACAAUUUAAAACCCUUAGCGAGAAUCAAGUGGAGGACAAGUCUGGUGCCAGCACCCGCGGUAAUUCCAGCUCCACUAGCGUAUAUUAAAGUUGUUGCAGUUAAAAAGCUCGUAGUUGAACCUCUGUCUGGGGCUAGUUUUGGCUUUGGUCAGGCUAGUUCUAGGCAUCCGCCUACAAGACUUAGAGGGCAUUCAGUUGUUCACUAGGAGGAGUAGGCAUUUUACUUUGAAAAAAUUAGAGUGUUUAAGGCUGGCAAUCGCCCGCAUAUAUUAGCAUGGAAUAAUAGAAUAGGACACUUUUCCAUUUCGUUGGUUAUUGGAAUCGUGUAAUGAUUAAUAGGGACAGUUGUGGGCAUUUGUAUUUAAUUGUCAGAGGUGAAAUUCUUGGAUUUAUUAAAGACAAACUAACGCGAAAGCAUUUGCCAAGGAUGUUUUCAUUAAUCAAGAACGAAAGUUAGGGGAUCAAAGACGAUCAGAUACCGUCCUAGUCUUAACUAUAAACUAUUCCGACUCAAUGUUUGACUGGCUUAUAUAACCAGUUGAGCGUUGUAUGAGAAAUCAAAGUCUUUAGGUUCUGGGGGGAGUAUGGUUGCAAAGCUGAAACUUAAAGGAAUUGACGGAAGAGCACAACCAGGAGUGGAUUCUGCGGCUUAAUUUGACUCAACACGGGGAAACUUACCAGGUUAAAACAAUAGUGGGAUUGACAGUUUGAGAGCGCUUUCUUGAUUGGUUGGGUGGUGGUGCAUGGCCGUUCUUAGUUGGUGGAGUGAUUUGUCUGCUUAAUUGCGUUAACGAACGAGACCUUAACCUGCUUACUAGACUGGCGAUCAUCAAUCGUUAGCUCUUCUUAGAGGGACUUUGG